UCCUCCUGCCAGUCAGAGUUGAAGCAACAGGGGGUGCUCUCCAAGAGCCGUGAGUCACCACUGGGGUUCAGCUUGCAUCUCCUUCAGAUGGGAGGCAGAAGACCCCAGAAAUGGUUCAUUUCUUUUCUUUAUGGCCCCAUCUUCCCCUUCAACACAGCUCCUGUCCACUUAAGUUACUGCAAAACUUCCUUCUCCAUGCGUGAUAUGAAGCCAGCUCCUCUCAGCACUAGUCCAAUUAACAUUGCCAUAAAACUACUGACGAGAAGCCGAGAGACAGAAAGAUGUGCCCCUUAAGGUGUGGAAGAUGGGAAGAUCUUGGGAUAGAGAAGAAAGCUUGUGUUUUGGUGAGACUCUGGCCACGC